AAAUUUGUAGCGCCCGGAAAAUUGAAGAAGGAAAAAAAAAAAAAAAGGUGUGUGCCACGUCAGCAGGCCUGGCCAACCAGGACCUGCCACGUGGCAAAACCACGUCGACCGGGGACGAGCCACGUUGGCGAUCCGCGUGCGCGCGAUCGGACGGCCCAGAUUUAAACAAAAUGGACGGCUGAGAUCAAAAGGCAAAAGAGUAUAAAUAAGACCCCCACACCAGACCCCAAACCCUAGCCGCCUGCCCUCGCCGGAGAAGACGAACCAGAAGCCGGCCGCCGCCACCCGCCGCCGCACCGGAGGAAUUUCCGACCGCCGAUCGAGGUAAAUUUCAUAUUCCCGACUCGUUUUUCC
rnacentral:lncRNA from 1 species